rnacentral:rRNA from 1 species
GCUCGUAGUUGGAUUUCGGGUGGGCGCCGCCGGUCUCCCAUUGGGUGUGUACUGGCGUGGCCCGCCUUGCUGUCGGGGAGGCUCUCCCGGGCUUCACUGCUCGGGAAGCGGAGUCGACGACGUUACUUUGAGUAAAUUAGAGUGUUCAAAGCAAGCCAUCGCUCUGAAUAUGAUAGCAUGGGAUAACACGACAGGACUCUGGCCUAUCGUGUUGGUCUGUAGGACCGGAGUAAUGAUUAAGAGGGACAGUCGGGGGCAUUCUUAUUCCGUUGUCAGAGGUGAAAUUCUUGGAUUUACGGAAGACAAACAUCUGCGAAAGCAUUUGCCAAGGAUGUUUUCAUUGAUCAAGAACGAAAGUUGGGGGCUCAAAGACAAAUAAAUACCGUCGUAGUCUCAACCAUAAACGAUGCCGACUAAGGAUUGGCGGACGUUCUUUCGAUGACUCCCCCAGCACCUCAUGAGAAAUCAAAGUUUUUGGGUUCCGGGGGGAGUAUGGUCGCAAGGCUGAAACUUAAAGGAAUUGACGGAAGGGCGCCACCACGCGUGGAGCCUGCGGCUUAUUUUGACUCAUCACGGGAAAACUUACCACGUCCAGACAUAGGAAGGAUUGACAAAUUGAGAGCUCUUUCUUGAUUCUAUGGGUGGUGGUGCAUGGCCGUUCUUAUUUGGUGGG